UACGUAGGGUGCAAGCGUUAAUCGGAAUUACUGGGCGUAAAGCGUGCGCAGGCGGUUUUGUAAGUCUGUCGUGAAAUCCCCGGGCUCAACCUGGGAAUUGCGAUGGAGACUGCAAGGCUAGAAUCUGGCAGAGGGGGGUAGAAUUCCACGUGUAGCAGUGAAAUGCGUAGAGAUGUGGAGGAACACCGAUGGCGAAGGCAGCCCCCUGGGUCAAGAUUGACGCUCAUGCACGAAAGGCGUGGGGAGCAAACGAGGAUUACGAA
rnacentral:rRNA from 1 species